rnacentral:rRNA from 1 species
UGGGAAAUAUUGCACAAUGGGCGCAAGCCUGAUGCAGCCAUGCCGCGUGUAUGAAGAAGGCCUUCGGGUUGUAAAGUACUUUCAGUCGGGAGGAAGGUGGUAAGGUUAAUAACCUUAUCAAUUGACGUUACCGACAGAAGAAGCACCGGCUAACUCCGUGCCAGCAGCCGCGGUAAUACGGAGGGUGCAAGCGUUAAUCGGAAUUACUGGGCGUAAAGCGCACGCAGGCGGUUGAUUGAGUCAGAUGUGAAAUCCCCGGGCUUAACCCGGGAAUUGCAUCUGAUACUGGUCAGCUAGAGUCUUGUAGAGGGGGGUAGAAUUCCAUGUGUAGCGGUGAAAUGCGUAGAGAUGUGGAGGAAUACCGGUGGCGAAGGCGGCCCCCUGGACAAAGACUGACGCUCAGGUGCGAAAGCGUGGGGAGCAAACAGG